AACGCACCUUGCGCCUUUUGGUAUUCCGAAAGGCAUGCCUGUUUGAGUGUCGCGCACCUCUCAGCCCCCUUGUGUUAAAGCGAGCGCGGGCUGGACCGUGGCCGCGGUCGCUGUUCGCAGCGGCCCGGCCGAAAUGCACACCUCAGCGAGACCCGCGGCGCCCCUGCGGCUUGACUGGACGUUGUAGAGUCACACUACGUUCGGAACGCAGCGGCUGCCGGCUCGCGCCGGACGCCACUUAACCAUUUCGACCUCAGAUCAGGCAGGACUACCCGCUGAACUUAA
rnacentral:misc_RNA from 1 species